CCUGUUUCUUCCUGCUUAUAUCCUCUCUCUCCCAGCCACUUCACUUCCUGCUUCUGCUCUGCCAUCUCACUUCCUGUCUCUCUGUACAGACCUCCAGACCUCUAUGGUUAGUUGGUUAGUGGCAAGCUCUAUCCUCUGAUCUUCAGACAGGCUUACUUAUACAAGCAAGAUAUCACCACAGGAAACAGUCUUGGGUUAAUGAUGUAUAAAUUAGUCUAGUCACCAUGGAAAUCUGUGUGGAGGUUCCUCAAAAGACCAAAACUAGGAGUAUCAUGUGACCCAACGAUGUCCCUCCUGGAUUCUAAAGAGGGACUUGGAGCAGCCGUGUGAUCAGGUUAGCCAAGAGACACUCACACAGUCAUCCUCAGUUUGGGUACCACCCUUCUGAAGAGGAGCCUCCAGAUCAGAGGAACAUUCACACUCCAUACUCACAACCCCUCUUCAGACUACUUUCCAGAUACCUCAGCCCCCCAGUGACUGAAUGAUAGUUUCAAAGCUUGCACAGCCCUGCUCUCAGGGUCUUCUUUCCUGAGAUCCAAUUGCACUAGUAGUAGGCAGAGCUGGAACUGAGGAAUGGAACAACUGUUGCUUGACCUUCAGUGUUUGGGCAUGUAGCUGUGGUUUUCUCCCAGGGCAAGGCAGACCUGGGGUCUCUGAAGAGAAUUUCUUGGAGCCAGUAGCACCAACAUAGGAAUGUUAAAUAUGAACUCAACCUUCUAAGUGGUUUUGGGGAUACACUGGUCAAGACAGGAGGGUAGAGAAUAUUAUUAUUGAACAGGUUGUCACCUCAACAUAACAUUCAACUAUUUAGACAUCAUAAUGUAACAACACUCCACUUAAACCUGUGCCUGGACUUCCAGGUGUUAAAGAGAGGUCCAGGUUAAAGGGUCUGAUGUUUCUAUACUCUCCUGUUGCAUUUAUAACUCCUUGAUAUUUUUUUCUAGACACUGGAGCCGGUCUUGUACUCCUGUUCAUGGGCUCUCAGGCAAUUAGGAUUAUGGUUGUUGCUGACUUAGUAGAAGUGGUUGUUGCUGAUUUAGUAGGUGUGAAGUGGCAUGCCAUUGCCACCAUCUGUGUUUCCUUGAUUGCAAGAAUGAAAGGAAAAGUUACCUUCAUUGAACUUUACUGCAUGCCAAGCACUGUGGUGAUGAAUUUUGUCUCUAUUUGCCCAUGAGGACCCUGGAAAAAGAAGAAAAAGAGGAAUUUUCCAGCAGGGCAUUCAGUGAUCAGCACUCGUAGAGCUGGAAACUAAUUUUGUCAAAAAUCUGUAAUUUGUAAUUGCAUUUGUAAUUUGUAUUGCAUUAUAUACAUGAAUACACUUCCUAAAUGCAUGUCCUGUUUGAUGGCUGACUUUUAACUUAAAAUUUUAAACUUUUAUUAUUUUAAAUUUUAAUUCUGGAAUUAUUUUAAAUUCAUAGCAAAGCUCAAAGAUGUAAAGGAUUGCUAUGCACCCUUUGCCUGAGGUUGCCUAUUGUCAACAUCCUAGGAAGACUAGCAACAAAACUAUUCAAUACUUGCAAAAGUUUUAAAAUUAUAUAUUGUGUGUGUUUCUCUGUGCGUGUGUGCAUGUGUGUAUCUGUGUGUGUAUCUAUGUGUGUGUAUCUCUGUGUGUGUCUAUGUGUAUGUCUGUGUGUGUAUCUGUGUAUGUGUGCAUGUGUGUGUAUCACUAUGUCUGUAUAACUGUGUGUGCAUGUAUGUGUAUCUCUGUGUGUAUGCCUAUGUGUAGAUGUGUGUG
ensembl:lncRNA